AAAUCCCAUCAUCAGUCAUAUGCUAGAUUGACUCGACUCGAGUUUAUCUGUGAAUUUUGUGAAAAUUCUUUUUCAGUAUUCACACUUACUUUAGUCAGAGAUUUUCUAAAUUUCGUCUUACAAAUCACAUAGGACUUCUCCUUUUCUAUCAAAAUCGAUAGAUUCUAUCUAGGUGUAUCCUACUCCAAACAGUAAACCUGAACCUACAAUAACCAACAUACACAGCAA
rnacentral:lncRNA from 1 species